GAUGAAGAACGCAGCGAAAUGCGAUAAGUAGUGUGAAUUGCAGAAUUCAGUGAAUCAUCGAAUCUUUGAACGCACAUUGCGCCCGCCAGUAUUCUGGCGGGCAUGCCUGUUCGAGCGUCAUUUCAACCAUCAAGCCCCCGGCUUGUGUUGGGGACCUGCGGCUGCCGCAGGCCCUGAAAAGCAGUGGCGGGCUCGCUGUCACACCGAGCGUAGUAGAUUUCAUCUCGCUCAGGGCGUGCUGCGGGUUCCGGCCGUUAAACCACCUUCAUAACCCAAGGUUGACCUCGGAUCAGGUAGGAAGACCCGCUGAACUUAAGCAUAUCAAUAAGCGGAGGA
rnacentral:misc_RNA from 1 species